rnacentral:misc_RNA from 1 species
UCUCCGUAGGUGAACCUGCGGAGGGAUCAUUACCAGAGAUGGUGGCCUUCGGGCCCCGUCCCCAACCCUUUGUUGACAAACCAUUUUGCCUCGGGGGCAGAGCGUCCGCCGCCGCCCCCGGAGGACCACCUAACGCUGUUUUUAUACGUCGGAGCAUUGAUUGAAUAAAUGAAAACUUUCAACAACGGAUCUCUUGGUUCUGGCAUCGAUGAAGAACGCAGC